rnacentral:tRNA from 1 species
UAUGUUUUAGUAUUGAAUGUAUAAAAGUUUUUGGUACUUUAGGAGGUGGUUUAAUCUAUCAGACAUAA